rnacentral:rRNA from 1 species
UACGUAGGGUGCAAGCGUUAAUCGGAAUUACUGGGCGUAAAGCGUGCGCAGGCGGUUUUGUAAGCCAGAUGUGAAAUCCCCGGGCUCAACCUGGGAAUGGCAUUUGGGACUGCAAGGCUGGAGUGCGGCAGAGGAGACUGGAAUUCCUGGUGUAGCAGUGAAAUGCGUAGAUAUCAGGGGGAAUACCGAUGGCGAAGGCAGGUCUCUGGGCUGACACUGACGCUCAUGCACGAAAGCGUGGGGAGCAAACAGG